GUGAAAUAGGCACAGAAAGACUGAUACUGUAUGAUCUCACUUGUAUGUGAAAUCUAAAAUAGUCAGACUCAUAGAAGCCUAGCAUCUGUGUUUUCCA